CCUACGGGGGGCAGCAGUGGGGAAUAUUGCACAAUGGGCGCAAGCCUGAUGCAGCCAUGCCGCGUGUGUGAAGAAGGCCUUCGGGUCGUAAAGCACUUUCAGCGGGGAGGAAGGCGGUGAGGUUAAUAACCUCAUCGAUUGACGUUACCCGCAGAAGAAGCACCGGCUAACUCCGUGCCAGCAGCCGCGGUAAUACGGAGGGUGCAAGCGUUAAUCGGAAUUACUGGGCGUAAAGCGCACGCAGGCGGUCUGUCAAGUCGGAUGUGAAAUCCCCGGGCUCAACCUGGGAACUGCAUUCGAACUGGCAGGCUAGAGUCUUGUAGAGGGGGGUAGAAUUCCGGGUGUAGCGGUGAAAUGCGUAGAGAUCUGGAGGAAUACCGGUGGCGAAGGCGGCCCCCUGGACAAAGACUGACGCUCAGGUGCGAUAGCGUGGGGAGCAAACAGGAUUAGAUACCCUAGUAGUC
rnacentral:rRNA from 1 species